GGGAAGUUGCGUAAAUAGAGCCCUCUAAAGGAUGCAAAAGUCGUAACACGGUUUCCGUAGGUGAACCUGCGGAAGGAUCAUUC
rnacentral:rRNA from 11 species